UCUUCGUGAAUGAUUAUCAAAGAUAAAAAUGUAAUUUCAUGCUAACUCUAUCAAAAAUAAUAUUAAGAAAAUGAAAUAGUUUUAACAUCUAACAUAAAUUUACCAAAGAAAAAUAAUUCUAGAAACAUUUCUAGUUAUUGCAAGUCUAUUUUACUGUUACUUUCAUUAAUUCCUAAUAUUUUGUAUAUUCAAAAUGUGCUUAAUAACUUUAUUAGGCUUAUUUCACUACAAACAAAGUCUAGCUCUUGUUUAAGGGAAACAAAAAUAUGAUUUGGAGAACACAACAAUAUCAUACCCACCGUGUACGAAGACCUUAUCCCUCCCUACGAGGUAGAGAGGGUGUCUCCGAUAGACCACCCAAAAAGACCUUACCCCUCCCUACGAGGUAGAGAGAUUGUCUCCUAUAGACUUGCCAAAAAAACAC